CAGCAGCCACGGUAAUACGAAGGUCCCGAGCGUUGUUCGGAAUCACUGGGCGUAAAGGGAGCGUAGGCGGCGUGGUAAGUCAGAUGUGAAAUCCCGGGGCUCAACCCCGGAACUGCAUCCGAUACUGCCAUGCUAGAGGAUUGGAGAGGUAGCUGGAAUUCUUGGUGUAGCAGUGAAAUGCGUGGAGAUCAGGAGGAACACUCGUGGCGAAAGCGAGCUACUGGACAAUAACUGACGCUGAGGCUCGAAGGCCAGGGUAGCGAAAGGGAUUAGAUACCCCAGUAGUCCCUGUCUCUUAUAC
rnacentral:rRNA from 1 species